UGCACAUGCACGAGAGAGAGAGAGAAAGAGAGAGAGAGAGGCUGUCAGCAUCCUCUGUAAAUGUUCACUCUGAUGCUGGUUGUUUUGCUAGUUAAAGUAAAUACUGAACCAGUGCAGUUUGACACAUGGAAUGGUGUAACACUGUGAGGAUGAAAUUUGUUUAACAUUUGUUUUGCUUCUUGACUCCCUAAAAUGAGAAUUGCACAUGAUUUUAUUGAAAAAAAAACUUUGUUUACUGUAAUCUUACUGCUUUCUUCUAAUUCUUCUUUUUUUCUAAUAUUCUUUUCCCUUCAGUUCUCACCACGUGGAUGCCUUCAUUUAUCUUGAACAAAAACAACACCUAAUUUUACUUUUAUUACCAUUUGUUCUUCCUCUGCUUUGUUGAAAAUGUUGUUAUCAAAAUAAAAGUCUAUUCUUAUUUAAAACUCUACUUUGCUUUUGUCUCUUUCGUUGCCCUCCACUAGGGAGUGCCAGGACCAGGCCAGUACCAUAUCAGAGGCCAGUUUGAGGCUCCUUUGAAGUCCAGUGGUAUCGGUUCCUUCUUUUCUCAGGCUGAGAGGUUUAGCUCACCCAAAGAAGUGUCUCCCCCUGUUGGUGUGUAUAAUGACCCGCGCUGUGCCUUUGAGUUGCUGAAGCGAACAACAGGAGUGAAGAAAAGCCCAUUUGGCAUCACUUCUGUGCGCUUCACACCUGACAAGAAAAAAGGCUCCACACCAGGUCCAGGCUCUUAUAAUGUGUUUGAACAAGGUUUGGCUCAGGGAAGUUUUAAAAAGGCAUUUUUAGAGCAAAGCAAGAAGGGAGGCUUUGGCUCCACUGCACAGCGCACCUCCUUCUUUCACAACAAGGAAUCAAUAAAGGCCCCCAGUCCAGGACAGUAUGAGACGGGAAAGAAGACGGAGGAACAGUACAAAAUGCAGAACACAGCUCCGUUCAAAUCAGCCACAGAACGUCUGUCAUUAUCACUGCUGGCUAAAGUAAGUCGUUCUUGCCUCCAACACAGUUGUGAUCUUCUAAUUGUUUUUUUUUUAUUGAGCCACUAAGUAUGCUCAAAAACAGCUUUCCUUUGAAAAAUAGUAUGUUUUAUCAGUUGAUAAAUACUAUACAGUAAAUUAAAUGACCUUUACUAUUCUGAGCACAGACAAAUACUGUAUUCUAUCUACUCGAGAGCCAUUGGUUGAGUCUGUGUCUGGUUUAGUUUCUAGGAAACUAAGUUUGUGUUCCACUUACUUGCUGUUAGUGAGAUUUUUCUUAUUUCCUUAUUGCUCCACAUACUGUAUAGUUGGUGUCAUAUUUAAAUACAGUGUAAUAAGUAUACUAAGCCACUGUUGUACAUUCCACCUCACGCCCCCAAAGAGUCAGAAACAGCAGCCGUGGGACUGAAUUUAACUGAAAGUAAUUGUUUUUGUUUGAAUUCACUGUAUGACACAGAGCACUGUUUGCUUAACAGUAAUUUGUCGGUGGAGAAAAUACAGGAGCAGCUGGAUGUGAGCAUUAGCAGUUGAAUCCUUGCAACUCAUAAUGUUCCAGGACAAAAUUAUGUAAAUGUCUUGCCACCGCAUUUUAAAUAUUCAAGAUACUUAAUUUGUAUUUUCACGGACCCUUCUGGGUGCCAUCUGGUGUUUACUUUGAUUAACCCUUGUGUAA